rnacentral:pre_miRNA from 13 species
GUGUAUAUACGCGUAUACACACGUGUGUGUGUAUAUACGCGUAUACACACGUAUGUGUGUAUGUGUAUAUACGCG